rnacentral:rRNA from 1 species
GAUGAACGCUGGCGGCGUGCCUAAUACAUGCAAGUCGAGCGAACGGACGAGAAGCUUGCUUCUCUGAUGUUAGCGGCGGACGGGUGAGUAACACGUGGAUAACCUACCUAUAAGACUGGGAUAACUUCGGGAAACCGGAGCUAAUACCGGAUGAUAUAUUGAACCGCAUGGUUCAAAAGUGAAAGACGGUCUUGCUGUCACUUAUAGAUGGAUCCGCGCUGCAUUAGCUAGUUGGUAAGGUAACGGUUUACCAAGGCAACGAUGCAUAGCCGACCUGAGAGGGUGAUCGGCCACACUGGAACUGAGACACGGUCCAGACUCCUACGGGAGGCAGCAGUAGGGAAUCUUCCGCAAUGGGCGAAAGCUUGACGGAGCAACGCCGCGUGAGUGAUGAAGGUCUUCGGAUCGUAAAACUCUGUUAUUAGGGAAGAACAUAUGUGUAAGUAACUGUGCACAUCUUGACGGUACCUAAUCAGAAAGCCACGGCUAACUACGUG